rnacentral:rRNA from 1 species
AGAGUUUGAUCCUGGCUCAGAUUGAACGCUGGCGGCAUGCCUUACACAUGCAAGUCGAACGGCAGCACGGGUGCUUGCACCUGGUGGCGAGUGGCGAACGGGUGAGUAUUAUAUCGNGAACGUACCUUAUCGUGGGGGAUAACGCAGCGAAAGCUGCGCUAAUACCGCAUACGCCCUGAGGGGGAAAGCGGGGGACCGUAAGGCCUCGCGCGAUUAGAGCGGCCGAUAUCUGAUUAGCUUGUUGGUGGGGUAAAAGCCCACCAAGGCGACGAUCAGUAGCUGGUCUGAGAGGACGAUCAGCCACACUGGGACUGAGACACGGCCCAGACUCCUACGGGAGGCAGCAGUGGGGAAUUUUGGACAAUGGGGGCAACCCUGAUCCAGCAAUGCCGCGUGAGUGAAGAAGGCCUUCGGGUUGUAAAGCUCUUUUGUCAGGGAAGAAACAGCAGCUCUAACACAGUCUGCGAAUGACGGUACCUGAAGAAUAAGCACCGGCUAACUACGUGCCAGCAGCCGCGGUAAUACGUAGGGUGCAAGCGUUAAUCGGAAUUACUGGGCGUAAAGCGUGCGCAGGCGGUUAUACAAGACAGGCGUGAAAUCCCCGGG